CUUACCCGCCCCGCCUGACAGGGGCAGGGUUACCAAGGCGAAGCCAAACAGCCGCCAUUUUGCUUACGGGCCGGGAGUGCAGCACGCGCCCGCCGAGCCCUCAGAGUCCAUUUUGCAACACGCAGAACGGCUCCGGGGUCUGGGCGCGGCCGCGGCACCAGACUGCGGCAGGGGCUGGGCAGGGGGGCCGUGAGGAGGGAAGUAGGGCAGCGGAGGAGGGGCGGCGGCAGCGGGGGCUGGCGCCGGGGGCGAUCCGCAGCCCCGGCGGCGCAGCCUGCGCGGGAGGGGCGGGGGCUCCGUCCCGGCCUGUUGUGGGGCCGAGCGCGGGCGGGAGAGCGAGGGUGUCUGAGUCAGAGCUGCAUCCUCGGAGGAAUAAACGCCAAAACUCCCUCCUCGGCCGCUCUCACACCCCCGACCUCCAGCUUCUUCCUCACGACCGUCGAUGCUGUCAGCAUACGUGUUCUUUAUGAAUCUCUAAUAGCACAUUUUCGGCCUAAACUGCGCGAAAAGCCGGGCAGAGCCGCCGGAUCUCACACACGCUGAAGAACUACCUGAGGGGAGGGGAAGAGGGGAACGAAAAAGGAGCGGGAAUUUUUGCAGACCUGCUCAGGAGGUUUUGACUGAAACUUUCAGUAAGACACUCGAGCCUGAGACUCUUCCCCGAAGCGCUUAAGACUCAAAGGCAAGUGGGAGAAAGCUUCUUUCCUUAGAGCGAGUGCGAGAACACUCGCUGAAGGCAUUUCUGUUCUGCAGGGAAUGAGACAAGCAGCGAACGAGCCUCGUUAGCCCGUUAGGGAACAGCCCUCGGGGAGUAGGAAUGGCGCGCUUCUGUCCAGAGCAGCGGGCGCUGCCAAUGCCAGGAGCCCGCUCAGCCUUUCAGGGCGGACGCAGCUCCGGCCAUUCGUAAGCAGCCCCUCUUGCUAACCACCAUAUCUCCUCCCAGCUCCCGCUGCACCUCUCCGCCGCCCUGCCUCCCCUGCCCGGCUUCAGCCCCUCCAGCGAUACGGCUGAUGGAGGGAGGGGAGGCGGCGGCUGGGGUUUCGUUCGACGCCCACCAGGGGCUGAGCGAGCCUUCUUCAGUGCGCAAACUCGGGGCACCAGAUAAAAGCUGGGCUGGCAGCUCUUACCCUGCCUCGAUGGAGCCGCCACUUUCGGGUGACUGGAGAAGCAGUUAGCAGCAGCGCCAUAGACUAAGCGUCCCCCCACACCUUGGGCACAGAGAGUUUGGGGCUCUAAACAGCUGCUGCUGCGGCAGGAGGGAGUCGAGGGCGCUUGGCUGGGGCUGCUCGCUCGGGUUCUGCCUUGUUGUUGCGCGAAAUGGCGGCUGGCGUCUUGGUGGGUUUGGUUGUCGGUUUUUUGUGUAGGGUUGUUUUUUUUUUUUUCCCUUCCCCUCCUAUUCCCCUCCCCGCACUUGUGCCUUGGCUGCGGCUCCGCAGCGAACCGCGGCGGAGCCCGAGUCAGGAGGGGGGCGGGAGCGGCGCGGCAGCCAAUGGCCGGGCCUGCCCGGGUGGCCCGGCGCACCCUGAUUGGCUGGCGCUGACAUCAUCCUGCAGCAGGGGCAGCCGCAGCUGGGCAGGGUCGGGAGCUGCCGGGGGAGGCAAAGGGAGAAAACGGGCGCCAUGAUCUCAGCGCUCGGGAAGACUCCGUGGGCAGGGCGUCCCCGAAGAGCUGGCGAAAAGAAAAGCGGGACCGGGCCUGGGCUUCUCCUUCUCGAAUAGUGCCGGGGCUGUGCUGAGAGGAGCGGGAAACGAGCGAGAGGGGAGCAACUCAUGCCUGCCUUUGUAACUGCGUCAGUACAAGAUGGCGCAGGGUGUCCCUGGAGAGGGAAGGGAGUUGCACGUCCGCCGGAGGUCAUGUGACCGCGUUGCAUUCCUGUGGGGUUUGGCUGCGGACCAAGCUGGCUUGGGCGGCAGCGGCGGCUGCCCGGGAGAGCCCGGGCUUCCCUCCCCCUCCUCCUGCACAGCGUCGUCGGUCCCGCGCUGGUUCCCUUCCCCCACCAGCCUCAUGCACGAGGGUGUAGCUGCUGCCGAGGAAGGUUCUCGCUUCUCUCUUUACUCUCCACCCACCUCCAGGGUGUAGCUCCUCUUGGGGGAAGCUUUCCAUUCCACCCCCUCUCUGCGCAAGGCUUUACCCACCGCCAGGGAAAGUUCCCCGUGGGUGCCUGCCGGCUCCGCCCGAGCGUGGGAGCGGGCUGCGCUCACGGCAGUGCCGCCCGCUCGGUGCGAAGGCGCUCUGCUCUAAGCUAAGUUGCAGGGGGUUAUGGAGUGGUUCUUACUGGAACAGUCGUUUGAAGUGAUGUCUAAAUAACCUCAUUAAAGCCGCUGAGGAAAACGUA